AUCGCUUCUCGGCCUUUUGGCUAAGAUCAUGUGCAGUAUCUGUUCUUAUCCGUUUAAUAUCUGAUACGUCCUUGAUGAGAGGACUUUAUACUAAAGGGAUUUUCGGGCAUGGGAGUUGGAUCCAGAGCUUGCUCCCUCUGCUCCACAUCAUCCUGAUACUGCAGUGCCUCCAGGAAUGGGUUUUUUU